rnacentral:lncRNA from 1 species
ACUACUACAGUGUACUCACAUACAUAAAAUAAAUAAAUAAAUCUAAAACAAAAAGAAAGAAAACACUAGAGUAGAGAAAGGGACACAGCUGUUCAUGUUUGGUCCAGUGCUGGCCAGACCUGCAGGUGCCAGCUUAUCUUUUCUCUCUAUCCCAAUCCUGGUUCUUUUACUCACCCCGAGAAGCCAUGAAAGGAUUGUUGGUGCUUAUAUGUUCACAGGUCCUUGAGAAGGAAAGUGUGUGAUGCGCAUGUGCAUGCAGGUUGAUGUGUGUGGUGCGCAUGUCCAUGCUGGUCAAUGAUGGGUGUGGUGCGCAUGUGUAUGCAAGUCGAUGUUGGCUGUCUUUCUCAGUUGCCUUCGGCUUUACUUCUUGAGAUAGAUCGCUCUAGUAGCUCAUCAGUUUGACUUGGUUGGCUGGCUGAUGAACUCCAGGGAUCCACCUUCCUAGUGCUGGGAUUACAGACGUGUAGCCGUGCCUGCCUUCUUACGCGGAUGCUGAGGAUCCUAACUCAGAGCCUCACGCUUUUGGAGGAGGCACCUUGUUGGCCGAACCAUCUCCUCAGCUCUAAGGGGUGGUGUCACUAUGACUCCUCAGAUGCUGGUUACAGCCCUCUGCUCUUUGGCCUAGGAAGAUGCUAGGUGGAUAUAUAUCUGGCCAACCAAAGCCCUGGUACGACUUUAUCACAGACACUAAAUGGUUUUUGGUAAUCACUGAAAAUCAGAUUCUUGCUCUUGUUUACCAGGUGUUUCAGAAUUACCAGCUCACAAAACAAAAGAGGUGAGAGGGGAACUGACUUGCUCCGUGUAAAGGGCCCGUGGCAGCACUGGGUGAAAACGAGGUAACCUGUUGGCCAGGAUGAGGAAAUUCAGUCUCAGGGUUUUUGUGAGAGCCAGGAAAGUCACUGACUCCAGAUGCUAAGGGUAAUUGGAGAACAUGCUCAGGAGUCACCCGGGGGAAGCUGUAUGGUCAACUUCUCUCGUUCUUACUUCCAGUUAGAUGUAUCCUUGCAUCUCCAUGGCAACCCAGGAGCUUCAUCAGUUUCAUUGAAUCCUUGCUUGGGGAGAUCUUGAGGUACCAGAUGGGCUAGGUAAGUGCAGAGGCUAAGAUAGAUAGCUCUGCAGAGCUUUAUCCCUAACCAGGGUUGUAGGGGGCUCGCCCUGAAAGUGGGGGCAGCAGUGUAAGCAACAGGUAUUUACUUGGUAACUUCAACACUUCCUCCAGUGGGGUGCCAUCUCCUGAGUGUUCCAGAACCUUCCAAAACAGCAUCACAACGAUGGGGGACCUGGGGCAGUGUGCACCAACCUGUAAAGGGAUGCUGUAGACUUACAAGGCAGAAAGAGCUGACAAGAGGGUCACCCUGAUCCCAGAGGCACGAGCGACCUCUGGUGGUGAUGGUGCAAAGAGCCUUGAUACUCAAAAGCUGGAGCGACUGGGAGGAGGUCCUUGGACCUGCAUUGAGGAUGAGAAGAAGAAAACUCAAUUAAGGUCAACAGUGAAGGAGAUCCUGGGAUUUGUGCUAAUUAGGGCACAGUCUUGGAGUGCUUCAUUUAAAAGUAACAAGAACGUAG